rnacentral:rRNA from 1 species
GGCGUCGAAGUAGUGUAUGUCAUGCUUCCAAGGAAAGCUUGCACUGUCAUAAAUAAAAAUGCCUGUACCAUAACCGACACAGGUGGGUAGGUAGAGUAUACUAAGGGGCGCGAGAUAACUCUCUCUAAGGAACUCGGCAAAAUAACUCCGUAACUUCGGGAGAAGGAGUGCCUUAUUCUUAAGGUUGCAAUAACAAGAUCCAAGCAACUGUUUAUCAAAAACACAGGUCUCCGCUAAGUCGCAAGACGAUGUAUGGGGGCUGACGCCUGCCCAGUGCCAGAAGGUUAAAGAAGUUGGUUAGCUUUUGCGAAGCUGAUAACUGAAGCCCUGGUGAACGGCGGCCGUAACUAUAACGGUCCUAAGGUAGCGAAAUUCCUUGUCGGGUAAGUUCCGACCCGCACGAAAGGCGUAAUGAUUUGGAUACUGUCUCGGAGAGGGGCUCGGUGAAAUAGACUUGUCUGUGAAGAUGCGGACUACCUGCACCAGGACAGAAAGACCCUAUGAAGCUUUACUGUAACUUGAAAUUGAAAUUGGACUUUAUUCGCGCAGUAUAGGUGGGAGGCGUUGAUUGUAAUCUUGCGGGAUUAUUGGAGCCAUCAGUGAGAUACCACUCUUGUAAUGUUAGAUUUCUAACUUUGUAUCAUUAUCUGGUCAAAGAACAGUUUCAGGCGGGCAGUUUGACUGGGGCGGUCGCCUCCUAAACAGUAACGGAGGCGUACAAAGGUUUCCUCUGAACGGUUAGAAAUCGUAUCUAGAGUGUAAAGGCAUAAGGAAGCUUGACUGUGAGACCUACAAGCCGAGCAGGGACGAAAGUCGGUCUUAGUGAUCUGACGGUACUGAGUGGAAAGGCCGUCACUCAACGGAUAAAAGUUACUCUAGGAUAACAGGCUGAUCUCCCCCAAGAGUUCACAUCGACGGGGAGGUUUGGCACCUCGAUGUCGGCUCAUCGCAUCCUGGGGCGGUAGUACGUCCCAAGGGUUGGGCUGUUCGCCCAUGAAAGCGGUACGCGAGCUGGGUUCAGAACGUCGUGAGACAGUUCGGUCCAUAUCCGGUGUAGGCGUUAGAAUAUUGAGAGGAGCCUUCUUUAGUACGAGAGGACCGAGAAGGACAUACCUCUGGUGUACCAGUUAUCGUGCCAACGGUAAACGCUGGGUAGCUAUGUAUGGAGUGGAUAACCGCUGAAAGCAUCUAAGUGGGAAGCCCACCUCAAGAUAAGUAUUCU